AACCUAUACGCACAAUCCGGUCGGCGAAAACACACGACGGUUUCAGAUAAAGCGUGGCUAUGGUGUGGGGGGGAGGGUGGUACGCGAAAAAAUAUGUAUAUUAGUCGUAGGUUUUUUUCUUUUUAACGGAUAUUCAUGUAUCGAUCCCUAAAGAUAUGUCCUGCAGUUACGCCGCCGGACUAUUUGCGUAUGUNUUUUUUUCUUUUUAACGGAUAUUCAUGUAUCGAUCCCUAAAGAUACGUCCUGCAGUUACGCCGCCGGACUAUUUGCGUAUGUGUACGCAUGUGACCCCGGUGUGUCUUAUAUUAUACGACUCGUUAUUGUAGCUGCGCCAAGGAUUCGACUCAAAUAACAUCCGAAAAUAUCCGUUUCACACUCGUUUCUAUAUUCGUUAAUUUGCUACUGCGAGUAACCGCAAUAAUAGGUUUGUUUGUUUGUUUUUUUUUUUUUUUUUAUAGAUUCUGAGUGGAACGAAAACGCUAUUGUACGCUAUUGUUAAUCGUUUAGAUGUGUUAUUUUUCUAUCGACACUCGGAAAACCCAUUUCCAGCCGGGGCACUUCGAUAGAGUCGCGUUUCCGACCGGCGGUAUUCCGGAUGGAAAAUAACGUUUAUAGAUUUCCGAUAGGUUUUUUUUUAUUUUUUUUUUUUUUUCCCUAUAGAAAACCGACAAAGAAACGACGACGCGAUACGUCGGUUUCGGUUUUGUCGUCGGUUUCCGCGGGCCCGCCGGCUUACCUUUCCGACCUUCCAUCACGCUCGUCCGGCUUCAACACACAUUUUCGGGCUACGGGGCGAAACAAUCACAAUAACAGAACAAAACAAAACCCGUUAAUUUUUCACAUUAUAUAUUAUUAUAUACGUAUUGUGCACACACAUUUUUAAUGAACAUCUCGGCGAACAAUAAUGUAAUAUUUUUUUUUUUCCAUAUCGAAUGCAUAAAUAUAUUAUUUAUCCGCUUAAACGUAUGUAUGUAUAUAUAUAUAAAUAUAAUUAUUAUUGUUAAUAGACGUACGUUUUUUUUUUUUUUUU